rnacentral:tRNA from 1 species
GCCUGGCUGGCUCAGUCAGUAGAGCAUGCGACUCUUGAUCUCCGGGUUGUGAGUUUGAGCCUCACGUUGGGUA